rnacentral:lncRNA from 1 species
AAUCAAGCCUGGGCAAUGGCGGGCGCCCCUCCCCCAGCCUCGCUGCCGCCUUGCAGUUUGAUCUCAGACUGCUGUGCUAGCAAUCAGCGAGACUCCCUGGGCAUAGGACCCUACGAGCCAGGUGCGGGAUAUAAUCUCGUGUUGCACCGUUUUUUAAGCCUGUCGGAAAAGCGCAGUAUUCUGGUGGGAGUGACCCGAUUUUCCAGGUGCCGUCCAUCACUCCUUUCUUUGACUCAGAAAGGGAACUCCCUGACCCCUUGCGCUUCCCAAGUGAGGCAAUGCCUCGCCCUGCUUCGGCUCGCGCACGGUGCACGCACCCACUGACCUGCGCCCACUGUCUGGCACUCCCUAGUGAGAUGAACCCGGUACCUCAGAUGGAAAUGCAGAAAUCACCCGUCUUCUGCGUCGCUCACGCUGGGAGCUGUAGACCGGAGCUGUUCCUAUUCGGCCAUCUUGGCUCCUCCCUCUGAAGAGUCCAACAGAAAAUUUUAAGUACCUGUUUAAAGCAAUUUACAAGAUACUGUGGAGAUUCCCAGCAAUAAAGAAUGUACUAUAGUUAAGCUGGAAUCCAACUCCUGAAUUUCUGGAGCCCUGAAGACCACUUAGUCUUACUCACAAGAAUUGAAUGGAAUGUGAAUCUACACUCAGGUGAAGCCAGGGUAUUUUGAACGUCCCUACAAGACUGAAGCACCACUGGGAAAUAAGUAAUAGAGAUGCCAUCAUUGUGGAGGUCAUAAUGCUUGUCCUGAACACGAGGGGUCUCUAGUGAAAACAUUUGCUGACUGCUGUUCUAUCUAGGAUAUCAUCAGUGUGUAGAUGAUCAGAGUUCAUGUCAGUGUUCCUACAAGCCAAUGAAGAAAAACAGAGAUCUGUGUUCUGAAUGGAAAAAUUCCUACUGAUGCCAGUAAGUGAGCCAUCCAUCUAUGAUGUGUCUAUGGGGAAGAAAGUGACAUGAAUGAGUAAAAUAGAAUAUAUGCUUUAAAUCAUGAAAAUUGAGUCCAGAUGGAAAGGUUAGGAGGAAAUGGAGUGGAAAGGUGGAUGAAGAAGAGUGAGAACUCAUGCAGUCGUUGCGACUUGGUUGACACUUCCUUCCCUGUGACUACAAUUCCAAGUUCAGUACUCCUGAGCUUUUAUAGAUGGAUGAGAAUAUAGGGGGAAGAAACAAGAGGAAGGAGUUUUCUGAAAUCUCGGUGGAGAGGAGGGAGAAAAAAGAUGGGAAAAUGUUACAAGCAUUCUGUUCAUGUUGUAUCACUUAGUGCAGUCUUGUCUUCCCAGCCCACUAGUCUGGAACAAGUCAGUCUCAAACAUAACAACAGACACUGGGGAGCUCUCCAACAAAAGAUCACCUCCCAAAGAACAGGAUGGUGUCGAAGACUGAAUGCCAGCCUGAGGAAACAGAAAUACUACAGAAGCACGCCAGAGCCUGCAGUGUCUCCUCGCUGCCUCUCAAUGAACUGCUAAAAGACCAAGAACUCUGCUGAGAGAUAAGAAGAGGGGAGGGUGUGCUGCAGGUGGUGCUGGGAGGCCCAGACCUUCUCCUGACAUCUGGGGCUGGCUACAGGAAACAGAAACAUCACCCAGGCCUUGGCGCGAGACAGGACAGAGGCAGAUUGUGACUCAGAUCUGCAGGUGGAAAGUGGGCCUUUCGUUUUCUCCUAGGGGUAGAGCAAAGCCAGAGGGCUCAGUCAGAGGAAACCUAAGGCAGUUCAUGAUCCCUUCAACUUUAUACCAUUUCCUCAAAACUGCCUCCAAACAGUGGGCAACUGGAAAGGUGGUCUGACCUCCAGUGAUCACACAGUAUGCAUUAUAACAGAAGGCUGUCACUGUCAAUUGCAUGGCUCCCUCACUAUGCAUUCCUUCUAUCAAUUUACGACAACACACUGUAGUGAGUACCUGCACAUUGCUGGGUAUUUUGGCAGACAUUGAUAGUAGAUGAAUAACACCUGGUACUUGACCUUGAGACGCUCACUGCCUAGUGUGGGGAACCAAUGGUUGCAAUAUAAAGUAUUAACUAGAGGGAUAGAGGACUGCCUGAGGAUCUCUGCACUCAGAGGAAGGGCCAUGAGAUCAGCCAGGACAGUAGGGAGGCAGUGACUCAUGAAAUUAGCAAGUGGUGAGAAGAGGGCAGUAGAUUCAGCGGCUGCUAAAAAAGGUUACUGAACUUUUUGUUUCAUCAAUGCCAAGAAAUUAAUCUGUUUUAGCCUCUUUCAUGGCCUCUGUUUGAAAUUUUUUAACUUUUUUUUUUUUUUUAGAUUUAGGGGUACAAGGACAGUUGUAUUGCAUGAGUAUAUCAUAUAGUGGUGAAGCCUGGGCUUUAAGUGCACCUAUCACCCGAAUAGCGUACAUUGUACCCACUAGGUAGUAUUUCAUUUCUCACCCUUCUUCCACCUUUUGGAAUCUCCAGUGUUUGUUGUUCUACUCUGUAUGCCCAUGUGUACUCAUUGUUUCACUCCCACUUAUAAGUGAGAACAUGUGCUUUUGACUUUCUGUUUCUGAGUUGUUUCACUUAGGAUAAUGCAUGUUCCUGUUUUGAUUCAGUCAAAAUCCUGGGGUCAGCACUGACAAUGUGAUUAACCCCUGUCCUAAAUUCACUGCAGAGGAACUGCUCCCAUAUGACUACUUAUUACCACCCAAGCCAGAAACCACAAAGAUAUUCUGACCUCUCCUCCUUCACUCCCCACCAACUGGUGAGUAAGCUAGUCACCAAGUCUUGAUUCUACUUGCAAACAUCUUUGGAAGGGAUCUCUCACUCCACACAGUCUCUGUCAUUGCCAAGUAUACCCAUUACCUCUGCUCUGUCCUACGGCUCAUCAUUCCUCAUCUACAUGCUGCACCAACCUCCUAACUCCCAUUCCUCCCCCUCCUAGUUCACUGCCAUAGCGUAAUCUUUCUAUAUCACGGAUCAUAUUGUGUCCGAAAUUGGUGGGUUCUUGGCCUCACUUACUUCAAGAAUGAAGCUGCAGACCCUCGUGGUGAGCGUUACAGUUCUUAAAGGUGAUGUGUCUGGAGUUUGUUCCUUCUGAUCAUGUUCGGAGUUUCUUCCUUCUGGUGGGUUCGUGGUCUCGUUGGCUUCAAGAGUGAAGCUGCAAACCUUCAAGGUGAGUGUUACAGCUCUUAAGGCAGCGCAUCUGGAGUUGUUUCUUCCUCC